CUUUGAAGGGCAUUAAUCAGCGCUUUGAAGCAUACCCUUCAGAAUAAAACCAACAUUCUACUGAUGGAAUUAAAGCGGGGAUUCGAAUUCCUCCAAUUUUUACUGAGACCCAACGCCCAUCACCUCCGCCUGUCUUCAAGUGAUGCGAGUUGUAGUCCAGCAGUGGAUGGCAAACCGCCCCCUGGCCCUGUAAAGAAGGUUUCUGAGUAAUUGCUGGUACUAGUUGUGCAGUUGGGAGAGUUAAAGGAGGGAGGGGGACACAAAGAACAUGGCGAGGGACGCUGCAG